UACGUAGGUGGCAAGCGUUAUCCGGAAUUAUUGGGCGUAAAGGGCUCGUAGGCGGUUUGUCGCGUCGGGAGUGAAAACGCCGUGCUUAACACGGCGCUUGCUUUCGAUACGGGCAGACUAGAGGUAUUCAGGGGAGAACGGAAUUCCUGGUGUAGCGGUGAAAUGCGCAGAUAUCAGGAGGAACACCGGUGGCGAAGGCGGUUCUCUGGGAAUGACCUGACGCUGAGGAGCGAAAGUGUGGGGAGCGAACAGG
rnacentral:rRNA from 1 species